UAAUAUCACAGGUGCAGUCAGAGUGUGAAGGAGAAACAACGAGGACAUCACGUGGACAAACGACUGAACUGCUGCUGUAGGCUUAAACUGCUUCUUGUUCUCCUUGUUCUAGUGGUGGAUCGACCUGUGUGGCACACAGCCAAGAUGUUCAACUGGACUCUUGCCUGCUCGUCCUCAAACUCGUAUUUAUCUACGUCUGUCUUCGGUGUGACACAGCCCCUUCCCCUCUCUGUUUCUGCAGUAAAAACACAACUGAAAUCCAGCAUCUCCAUUCAAAAGUAUUCCUGCUGUUUUAGGGUAAUCCUGACUCUGCUGGUACGCCUGCAGACUUCAGUGCCCCUCAACAAAGACUCUCCAGGUCUCUGAACUCUACUUGAAGGAGUGUUCUUCCCAAAAGAACACAGAGGAGCAAAGGAAGAGGUGCUAGGAGGUAAGAGGGGGGAGGAAUUAUCGAGAAAGUCCUCACAAGAAGGAGGAGGAAGAGACUGUCAGGCUCAGGAGGAAGGGCUGAAAAAGACGAAGCUUACCUCGUCCUCUGACUCACUUCCAUUCCAGCCCAUCAAGGGACUUUUCCUCAUCUCACUAAUGAUACAUGAAUGUGAAAGUUACAGCCUUAUUAUGAGAGUUAGGCCCUCAGGGGCCCUCACGAUUAAGAAUUGUCUUAGUUACCCUAAAAAUAAACAAACCCAGGUCACACAAAGGUCAUCCAGCUUCAAAUACAGCUGUCCUGACUUGGGUCGUAAAUAACUUUGAUGGUUAGUGUCACUGAUACAGCAUGAUGCAGGCCUACACAUGCAUGUAAGAUGAAAUCAUCUCCGUGAUGCAAGAUACAACACAGUGUACAUGUCACAGCAGGUUGUGGUUAUUAUUCAAGCAGCCUACUGACGUAGGUCCUGGAUGUUAUAAAUUCAACAUGAGCACUAUACAUACAUGAGCAUCUCAUCACAAUUACAUUGAUUAGUGACAUCAGUCUGAUAGUUCUGCAUGUUCAAAUGGAAAUAGAAACCAAGUCUAAAGAUGCAAACAAAAUAACUGUCACAGCAUUUGGUUGUGAGUACAGUUUGGAAAAUAUGUACGUCCUUAAAGAUAUGCUCCCUUCUGAUUGGAAAUCAUCAUCACUGAGGAAGGUGUAGAUAAUCUUUAACAUAGUACAAUUAGAAAGGAUCUUAGUCCAAUACAUGUU